rnacentral:sRNA from 1 species
UAUUUGUUGACGAAUCAUACACCUGUGGUGGUUUUAAUUCUAAAGAUAUUUUCGUGAACAUGUAUCUCAAACAAGAAGAUCACAAUAAACAAUCUUUAUCAUUAGGUAUUGUUUUCUUAUUCUAAUUUUUAUAAUUAGAUAGAAAUAGUAGUUUUUUUUUCCUUUUACCUAAAUAAUAAACACAUUAUAAUCGAAGAUUAAAAGAUAUAAAUUUAUUUUCUCAAGUCGACAUGAGUUUACCUAACUUGACAACCAAACCCUACAAGGUUCAAAGGACUUAUCAAAACUUGGAACAUCUAAUAAUUCCUUUGUUCCGUCUUUUUUUGAAAAACAAUCAGAUUUUCUCUUGACAUUCCUGAAUAUUAUAAAAUUAAUGAAAAUAUUUUUAUCACAAUAUUAAUAAUUUUUAAUUUAAUAAUGAAUAGAGCCAGCCCAACCAUUAAACGAAUUAGAUUGUCACCUAGGACCUCCGAUUUAUUGUACCCAGUUUUAAUAUUGAUAUAUUUUUACUAUUGUUUUUCUUGAGAAAUUUUUUGUCGAUAAUUUACAAUAUUAAACAAUA